GUCGAUGCAGUGAAGAUGAUCACGUAGUCGUACGUUGUCGAUCACGUCCAGCAGCUACUCAGCAGCUCGUCCACGUGCAGCAAGAUCGCCUCCGGUGCCGCGACUCGUCGUCGGCUCGUCGUGGCUCAUCGUCGGCUCGUUGAUGGCUCGUCCAAGUGCUGCAGGCGCAACACCUCCAAGGUAUCCACACAUGCAGGGAGGAAGCGUCGCAAGCCGGACUACUAGAUCCGCGAGUU
rnacentral:lncRNA from 1 species